CCCGACUUAGCUCAGCCAAUCAAAUUGUUUGUAAUGUCAAUUUAACGUUUAGUCUGGAUUACCUGUCCCUUUGUAUCGGAGAGUCAGCAGGUACAGACGAAGUUUUAGCGGAGGCGAUGGCAAUAGUUAUCAGCAGCCAGUCAGUUACAGAUGCAUUACGACAGAGACGUUGUUAUCUACGUCUCUGAUUGCGAACACAGAAUUAAACAACAUUGGUCAUAAUCUUACAUACAAGAGAUCGGCAGAGCAGGAAGAAGCCAUGUUGAUGCCCUGGCCAUUCUCUUCUUUAACAAGUCAGUCAUUGCAUCUGCGCAUAUGACCAGAGAAAAGAAGGACUAUUUUGGAAACUUAACUAUCUGCCAAGAACUUUAGUUAACCAGUAUUUUGGUUUUGAAACUAAGGAAGUCUAACAGUUUUCAAUUUGUUGUGAUUUGUGUAAUAAUGAAGUGGGGAUAGAAUAUGAUUUUAGUAAACUGUCACCUAACUAAAAGCAUACAUAUUAUUAUUACAAGAUUCCUUGUUUUAUUGAAUUUUCACAUCUUUUUAGGAAAGUCUAUCCUCGAAUAUUUUCAAUAUCUUAAAUAUAUUUGAUUGGAUUGAUUUAUUUAUCGUCUAUGUUUGAUGAAAAUGUAUAUUCUAUGUGGAAUUAAUGCAUAUGUUAGUGUGAGUGUGUGUGUGUGUGUUUCUGAGGAUAGUGCGUAUGGGUGAAAAUGUGUGAGAAUGGUACGGGAGUUGCGUGAUUUAUGUUUAUAAAUUAACAUUUGUUUGUAAAGAUAUACCAUGUAGUAUAAGUGCAUACUUGCAUACUUCUUUACCAACAUGACCCCAACCUAUAAACAAGAGCAGACAACUCUAUCAAACAUUUUGUAAUAAUUAUGGCCCUUUCCCACUUAGAAUAUGCAUAUUAUUGAUAAAUCUAUGUUAAAGUUUGCAUACAACCCCAAAUAUUUUUAAUGUCCCUUGACAUAUUGCUUUCAUAUUUUGCAUACUCCUUUACCAACAUGACCCCAACCUAUAAACAAGAGCACACAACUCUAUCAAGCAUUUUGUAAGAAUUAUGACACUUUUUUCACUUAGAAUAUGCAUAUUAUUGAUAAAUCUUUGUUAAAGUUUGCGUACCACCUCAAAUAUUUUCAAUGUCCCUUAACAUAUUGCUUUCAUAUUUUCCAAACUUCUUUAAACAUUGGACCUUAAAAUCUCCAGUAAAAAACAAGAAUACAAUUAAAAAAAGGAAAAAAAGUAAGCCUCAACUGGACUCUAACCACUGACCCCUGGAGUCCUGGAGUAAAAAGUCUCCCGCCUAGACCACUCGACCAUUCAUGCUCAUGCUAUGAGCAGAUGUAUUUUUUAAUGAAAUAAGCAAUCCUCUUAGUUUCUCAAACUAUAACGACAACAACAGAACUUUCCAAAUUAUUCAAUCGUUUCACGUUGCAACGCUUUAUAAUUUCAAGGUUUUCAAAUCGUCAAAAGAUGCAUAUAAUGAAUAUUUUGAGCAUGAUAAAUGUUCAGUAUUACUAUUUUCUCAAAAAUAUCAUUGCUAAAACGAAAAUUUGCGAAUAUGAAACUUUUUUUUUUUUUCAAUUUACCAAAACGUGAAAAGGCCCCUUUAAGGUCAGCCUUAUAAAAGAUAAAUUGCUCUGCUACACAGCAAAUGUCAUAAAUAAGAAAUAAAAAAAUGUACCUCGUGUCUGUUAGUGGGUUGUUAUUUGUUUAUACUUUGGUUAUGUUUAUUUGUUAUUUAUCCUUAAAGUAUUAUAGAACUUCAAAAACCAAACACACUGAAUUAGUUAAAGCUGAAAGUUAUUGCUUCAAUCUUGUUUUAAUAUUACUUACAUUUAAUGACAAUCACCUUUUGACCAAAUUGUAGAGAAAAACCAAUGGAAUUUUUCUAAAAUGAAGCAAAACCAAGUAUAAGAUUUUUCAUUGGAUAAUUCAUUCUACAAUUUUCUGAAAUGUGAUGUUUCUAUGAGCCUUUUAACUAAUUGUUCCUAUAGUAAGUUAAGCGCACCGACU